rnacentral:misc_RNA from 1 species
AAAAAUCUUUUAAUGAGCCGCAAGGCUCUAAUAUUUUGUGAAAUGUGUAUAUUAUCACAGGCUUGAGGAGGUGGAGUGUAGUAGUAGAAAUUAAUCUUAUGGGAUAAAUUUCUUCGAAAGGCUUUACCCCCCUUGUGAAUGUGAUGAUAUAAAAUAUUAAUACAUAUGAUUUUGAUGUUGAGGAAGUAUUAUAUCAAUUAUAAUAUAUGUA